CCCUCCCUAAUCGCCUCGCGCUUUCUCUCUCGCUCUCGUUCUCUCGUUCUGCAGCUCGCAGGAUGCUCUCGAUAGGAUGCAGGGGAAAAGGUCCUUUGAGUAUGCCAGAAAGUAGGACACAAUUCGCUGCGCGACUUGACUUGAUGUGCCAUGUUUGCUCUUGUUGCUCUUGUUGCUCGUGUUGCUCUGCAGUCCUCCAGUUCUGCUGGGUUAUAUUCGCAUUGUGGGUCCUGUCGGGGAUCCUGCGCCCAAAAGAGGCCUGUCAUUCAUGCGAUUUGCAUGCAGCAUUCACCGGGCUUUGUUCCGCCUUGAUUGGAAUGUAAGCUGCUGGUAUCUCAACUCAUUUUUCGAUUUCCUACAUUUGGCUUUUCCGUGUUCUUUAGAAAGUACAUUUAGGUUUUCUAGUUGGCCUAUGCCCCUUUUACAUUUUGACUUGAAUUUUUAUUUGACUUAAAUAUUUUUUGUUUAUCAGACAUAAUCCCUAAACCCCAUUCUCUACUUUUUUAAAUUGAACCACUUGUUUUUUGUUGUCAUCAUUUUGCCCUCCUGCGCAACUCGGUCUUGAGACCUGGCCCAAAAACGUAUCUUUUAAUUGAGUUUUGCAUCAGGAAGCGGACGCCCAUUGUUGUUUUUUUUUUUUUUUUUUGGCCGCACACACGAUGUAAAUGGGUCACUUAGGGAAAAGCGAGGAGUUUCCACGGGGGGUGGGAAGGGGUGGGGUGGCAUACCAAAUGCCAAUCAGCGGGCAUGCCAAUGUGCAGAGUGCAUCAGUGGCGCUGACGGGGAACUGAGGAACGGAACGGAACGGAACGGAACGGAACGGAGAGGAACAGAAUCCAACACAGAAAUCCAUCAGUCAUCGAAAAGCAACAGCCCAAAACUCAAUUACCCACGAUGCCCGGCCUGUCUCUACUGAUUUUACUACCGUCAUCUGGUGUCAUCUGGUGUUUUUGUUUUUGUUGUUCGCAUUGUGACGCGACAUGUUACAACCACCCACUCAACCACCCAACGUCCCCACCACCCCGCGAACCAUCAGUCGCUUUGGCACAGUGGGCGCCUAUCAAAAUCUAUAUUAACUUAUAUGCUGUCAUUGCAUUCUACUUCAUUUAACUGAUUCUCAACGUAAUAAUAGCCGAAAACACAAACUUUUGUCCAACUAAUGUUCUCGAUGUCGUUUUAAGUAGUCCCACUGUUCGAUUGCACAUUCGUUUUUACCCACUGUGCGCUGCGGCAGAGCUUUACGAUAAAAGGCGACGACGUCGUCAUGCUGUCUGGUUCGUUGCGUUUCGGAGUUUGGCUUCGUUUUCGUUUUCGGCUUCGGCUUCGUCCUUUGCCGUUUAUCGUAACUUCAGCGCUGCGUCCUUGUGUGCCGCACAUUCGCAAAAACAUUGCGGCAUUCUGUUUUGGUUGCCCAUUCGCCGACACGAACGCCCCAUCCCUUCGAAUUCCCAACUAACAACGUCGUCGAGUGCAGAGUGCGCGACAAGGGGUUGCAGUCAUUCAGCAGAGGAGUGGCGGCAAUAAAAAGUGUGUGGCUACACUGGGAGAAAUUACCCACUGCUGCCCCUUCACUAUAUUAUUUCCCUUUUCUUAUAUAAGUUUGGAAACAUGGUUACAAGUACGAGACGGUAAGUAAUAAGCAGUGUUUAGUUUUAAGCAACUUAGUUGCCUUUUUUGUACACUUCUAAGUUAUAUUUCACGUUCAGUGUAAGGACACGGCAUUUAAGGAUUUGCGUCGCAAAUCGCCAACUGCGACGUAGUUGCAUCAAGGGGCAUAAAAGCAGCAAAGUCGAGGGUUACAGGCGGUAGGUUAGAUUCUAUCGAAUCGCUGGCAGCCGCACCCUGAACCCAGAUCCCGGAUUCCGGAUUCCGGAUUCCGGAUUCCAAAUGACAAAUCCCCGCCAGGCGGAGACGUGUGACCCAGAUGCCACUCACUAAUCCCCGCAGUGGAAAAAUGCGCCGCAAAAGCCUGGCAAUUGAUGAGAGACUCCCUAAUCAACCGGCUGUCUGUCUGUCUGUCUGUCUGUCUCUUUGAUGAUAAUGCGCAAUUGAAGAUAUAAUAUUUUGAAUAAUGCGCUGUUAUCCUUAAGCUAAAACAAAAGCACGUAUGAAUCUCCGACUUGUUGUUCUUCUCAAUUGGCAGCAAUAACCCGGGUGGGUUCUAUAAUUAUUGCGUCCUUUCAUCUGCAGCCCCUUUUGGCAACCCUCGUAGCAGUUGAGGUCUUUAUCGGUGGCUUAAAUUAGCACUUCUAAAACAAAGUAUGGAGCAUUGGGAGUCCAGCCACCGAGAUCCUUGGGCCUACCACAAAAAAACCUUGUGCCUAAUCGGGUGACAAUGUUUUGCCGCGAAUAGAUGAUGGGCAUUUGUUCUUUUUUUGGUUUUUUAAACGAACUGAGUGGAGCCAAAUCAAUAACGAGAAACUACACCGCAAGAAAUGUAGCCAAAUGGGAAACGCUGUGUGUUGCAGUGUUAAGUUCGCCAUGUACAACAAGUGGAACACAAGUCGAGGAUGGUGCUUCUCAAGUGAGGCUGACAACUCUGGCCAAAUGCCAAGCAUCGAUAGUUUGCGACGCUCUCCUUUUGCCACCCAUUGUGUUGGCAAAUUGCAGAAACUCACGAAUGUAAGUCAUUCGUACAAUGACUCUUUGGUGGCGGAGACAAAGCCAUAGUUCCACGGAUUCCACUGCCACCCAGCGGCUGGGCAUGGAGCUGCUGGGGAUGCAAUACACUGCGCAAAAUGAACAUCGACGCGAGGAACUGCGUACUUCAAAUCGAGAAGUUGCCACUGCGAGCAAAGAAAUCAAUAUAUUGUAUUACUGAUUAUUACUUUCGAAAUCAUUACUAAUAUUUCUGAAUAAAUAUGCUGCUUAUUUUUUAGCAGUGUAUGUAGUA